UACGAAGGGGGCUAGCGUUGUUCGGAAUUACUGGGCGUAAAGCGCACGUAGGCGGACUAUUAAGUCAGGGGUGAAAUCCCCGAGCUCAACUUGGGAAUUGCAGUGGAUACUGGCAGGCUGGAGUACGGUAGAGGAAGGUGGAAUUCCCGGUGUAGCAGUGAAAUGCGUAGAGAUCGGGAGGAACACCAGUGGCGAAGGCGGCCUUCUGGACCAGUACUGACGCUCAUGCACGAAAGCGUGGGGAGCAAACAGG
rnacentral:rRNA from 1 species